GGCAGAAGGGGUCAUUCUCCCUGGAGAUGUGGUCACGUCAUUAACCACACUGGGUUAGAAUCAUCAGAAGCUGUUCCUGCCUCUUCCGUCAAGCAAGGGGCUCUGGAGGCCAGAAAAUGCCUAUGAAUCAUGCCCACACCCCCAGAGCCCAGCAUGGGGCGGGCUCAGGUUAGGUCAAUCGUGUUUGAAGACUGAAUAAAUGAAUGUCUUCAUUUGCUACCCUCAGAAGCCCAGUCCGGAAAAAUAUUCCAGUGCAAGGUUUUUGGCUUGAAUGAGAUCCCAAGAAUCACCUUCAGGUUGUCAGGAAAAUGAUACAGGGAAGGGAAGGAGCCAACAAAGGGUAUGGGAAUGAGCACAUAACACUAUGGACAGCUGGGGAACCUUGGGCGAUGAUGCAGAACUGUUUAUCACUAACUCUCACCAGGUCAGUUGUGCAUCAAGGCUACUCGGGGGAUAGCACUUUACAGCCUACUCUAGCACCACGGUGGCCUUCUGGGGCAGGGGCCAGCAGGCUGCAGCUGCUGGAUGAAGCCCCCAGGCAGAGUCGCUGGUCCUCAGGUGCUCAAGCUUAGCUGGAAGCCUUCAGGUUGCUGUGCAAUGGAAUAGUGAGUACCCAGAGGAUAUGUGCGUGUGUUACAGUGAGUGAGUGAAUGAACGAAUGAAUGGAGAAUCAAGAAAAGAGCCGCGUAUCUUCAGUCAUUGAGCAGACACGGGCCUUCUGCUGUGUGGCCCUGGACGAGCCAUCAUGCCUCUCUGACCCUGGUUUCCUCUUCUAUAAAGCAGGAAUGCUAGCCCAGCCUCCCAGGAGAUAAAGGGUGGGAGGUCCCCAGAGAGUGAGAAGGGUUCCACCUGGGCUCCCAGACUCAAUCUCAGCUCCAGGAAGCAGGACAUGGCCCCAGUGAGGGUUCUCUGUGGGUGAAGAAGCCACAGAAGGCAGGCACAGUGCCCUGGUUGGAACCACAGGGGCCCCGAAGCAACCACAUCAUGGCCACCACAGCCUCCACCAUCCCACAGCAAUUUCCGCUGCUGCCUCUCCCAGGGCAAGAUCUCCCACCAGUGGCUGGCUGUCCCCUCUGCCAGCACCUGCCCCGGGUGGGCCCUGCAGCAUGGCCAUGGCUGCUGCAAGGCAGGCUGGCAGCUGCUCCUGUGUGCAGCAGCGUGUCUGCUUUGAAAAGCCACAGAGACUCCUGUGGUUAGGGGCUCAUGUUACAGUAGCACACGUUCGAAUCCCAGUUCUACUACUUGUGACUGUGGGAAAGUAAUUUCACCCCAGUCCUCUCUGGUCUCAUUGAUCAAAUGGAACUAACAUUCUAUUGUCCCCUCUGGUGGUCUCAACUCCAGCAGUUUGUGAGAUGGUUGCCUUCACUGUUUUCCCUACUGCAAAACCCAUAAGGACACAGUUAUCUUGCCUCCUGCCCCAACCCCAGGGUCUUGAACACAGUAAGUGCUCGAUAAAUGCUUGGUAAAUACAUGAAUUAUUGUCUGA
rnacentral:lncRNA from 10 species